AUUUAUUUAUUUAUUUUAUUUCAGUCGAAGUGGUCUGCAAGAUCAGUGUGGCAGGCAGAGUGCUUCAAAAAGUGAACAUGCCAGCUUCAACCAAGCUUACUCUAUUAAAGCAAAUCUCUAAUGAAGGGGAGGGGGGGCCAAGUACAGUGUUGCAUUUGCCUGCAGUCAUUUUUACAUUAGGGUGGCUCUGAUUGUAAGAGUGCAGUAGUAGCUAUAAUGAUGUUGAAUGAAUGAAUUUCUGUGUAUAUCUUAAUUCAUACAAAACAUGCAGCUCAAUGUUCUUUACUACCGCUAGACUCAACAUUGUAUUUAGGUAUAUAGAUUACCAGACUGUCAUUAAAACUAAACAAACUAAGAUUUCUGUUCAUUGCAUUUUCUAAAUAUUUACUGGUCUGCUUUCCUUUUUUCAGGUAGGAUGUGGAAAUGCAAAGAAUGCAGCGAGCAUUUUUCAAGAAGAUCUGAGAUACUGAAACACUUGAGAAUUGACCAUCGGUGGAUUAAAUAGGCGGGACCACUAAAGCAAAACUGCCACGAUCCUUGAGUUUCUUGACCAGGGUGCUGAUGCAGAUUUCAGAAGGGAGUGUAUCCUCAAAGCUCUCAUCAUCUACCUGGGAGAACGUGUUGAGGACCUUAUAAAGGAAUACAUGGUCUCCCAGAAAGAUCGAGC